UUAGUAACGGCGAGUGAAGCGGCAAAAGCUCAAAUUUGAAAUCUGGUACCUUCGGUGCCCGAGUUGUAAUUUGGAGAGGGCAACUUUGGGGCCGUUCCUUGUCUAUGUUCCUUGGAACAGGACGUCAUAGAGGGUGAGAAUCCCGUGUGGCGAGGAGUGCGGUUCUUUGUAAAGUGCCUUCGAAGAGUCGAGUUGUUUGGGAAUGCAGCUCUAAGUGGGUGGUAAAUUCCAUCUAAAGCUAAAUAUUGGCGAGAGACCGAUAGCGAACAAGUACAGUGAUGGAAAGAUGAAAAGAACUUUGAAAAGAGAGUGAAAAAGUACGUGAAAUUGUUGAAAGGGAAGGGCAUUUGAUCAGACAUGGUGUUUUGUGCCCUCUGCUCCUUGUGGGUAGGGGAAUCUCGCAUUUCACUGGGCCAGCAUCAGUUUUGGUGGCAGGAUAAAUCCAUAGGAAUGUAGCUUGCCUCGGUAAGUAUUAUAGCCUGUGGGAAUACUGCCAGCUGGGACUGAGGACUGCGACGUAAGUCAAGGAUGCUGGCAUAAUGGUUAUAUGCCGCC
rnacentral:rRNA from 1 species